GCGGAGAGGUUACACCCGUUCCCAUCCCGAACACGGAAGUUAAGCUCUCCAGCGCCGAUGGUAGUUGGGGCUUUGCCCCUGCGAGAGUAGGACGUUGCCAGAU
rnacentral:rRNA from 1 species